CACCGGCAGCUCUAGUGGUAGCUGUUUUUAUUGGGCCUAAAGCGUUCGUAGCCGGUUUGAUAAGUCACUGGUGAAAUCCUGUAGCUUAACUGUGGGAAUUGCUGGUGAUACUGUUUGAACUUGAGGGUCGGGAGAGGUUUAGCGGUACUCCCAGGGUAGAGGUGAAAAUUCUGUAAUCCUGGGAGGACCACCUGUGGCGAAGGCGGCUAACUGGAAACGAAC
rnacentral:rRNA from 1 species